rnacentral:rRNA from 1 species
GGACCUGACUGCUAUCGGAUUGAUACUAAGCCAUGCGAGUCUUUGUAGUAAUACAAGGCAGACGGCUCAGUAACGCGUAGUCAAUCUGCCCUAUGGACGCGGAUAACCUCGGGAAACUGAGAAUAAUACUAGAUAGAACAUUAUGCCUGGAAUGGUUUAUGUUCCAAAUGAUUUAUCGCCGUAGGAUGGGACUGCGGCCUAUCAGUUUGUUGGUGAGGUAAUGGCCCACCAAGACUAUUACAGGUACGGGCUCUGAGAGGAGUGGCCCGGAGAUGGGUACUGAGACACGGACCCAGGCCCUAUGGGGCGCAGCAGGCGAGAAAACUUUGCAAUGUGCGAAAGCACGACAAGGUUAAUCCGAGUGGUUUCUGCUAAAGAGACCUUUUGUCGGUCCUAGAAACACCGAUGAAUAAGGGGUGGGCAAGUUCUGGUGUAAGG